rnacentral:rRNA from 1 species
GGANUGGGCGAAGCCUGACGCAGCGACGCCGCGUGGGGGACGAAGCCCUUCGGGGUGUAAACCCCUUUCGACCCGGACGAAGUCCCGCAAGGGAUCGACGGUACGGGAUGAAGAAGCCCCGGCUAACUACGUGCCAGCAGCCGCGGUAAGACGUAGGGGGCCAGCGUUGCUCGGAAUUACUGGGCGUAAAGAGUCUGUAGGCGGUGCGGCAAGUCGGGAGUGAAAUCUCGGGGCUUAACUCCGAGUCUGCUUCCGAAACUGCCGUGCUCGAGUGCGGGAGAGGUGAGUGGAAUUGCAGGUGUAGCGGUGAAAUGCGUAGAUAUCUGCAGGAACACCAGAGGCGAAGGCGGCUCACUGGACCGCAACUGACGCUGGGAGACGAAAGCUAGGGGAGCAAACAGGAUUAGAUACCCUGGUAGUCCUAGCCCUAAACCAUCAGGACUUGGCGUGGGUCCCGUUCGGGGCCCGUGUCGGAGCUAACGUGUGAAGUCCUGCGCCUGGGGAGUACGGUCGCAAGGCUGAAACUCAAAAAAAUUGACGGA